rnacentral:rRNA from 1 species
GAUGAACGCUAGCUACAGGCUUAACACAUGCAAGUCGAGGGGCAGCAUGAAGUCAGCUUGCUGACUUUGAUGGCGACCGGCGCACGGGUGAGUAACGCGUAUCCAACCUUCCCCUUACUCAGGAAUAGCCCGUUGAAAGACGGAUUAAUGCCUGAUGUUCUCAUGUUGCCGCAUGGCGAUAUGAGCAAAGAUUUAUCGGAAACGGAUAGGCUCGCGUGACAUUAGCUAGAUGGCGGGGUAACGGCCCACCAUGGCGACGAUGUCUAGGGGCUCUGAGAGGAAGGUCCCCCANACUGGUACUGAGACACGGACCAGACUCCUACGGGAGGCAGCAGUGAGGAAUAUUGGUCAAUGGUCGAGAGACUGAACCAGCCAAGUCGCGUGAGGGAAGACUGCCCUAUGGGUUGUAACCUCUUAGUCGGGAGCAAAAAGCGGACGUGUCCGCCAUU